GAGUCCAGACCGAGACCCAGAGAAAUGUAAACAAACGCACCAGUCAGACUUGAUAUAGGAGUGAAUUUGUUGCUUUUUAAAGCGGCAGUCGGUCUGUACAUGUGUGAGGUGGCGAGGGGUGUCGCCAGGGGGCGGCUAGUAGCGUCUGCCACCAGGGAAAUAUGUAAAAACAUAAAAAAGACGCUUCUCAAGAAAGAGAGGGGCAGUCGGUCUGUACAUGCGUGAGGUGGCGAGAGGCGUGUCCAGGGGGCGGCUAGUAGCGUGUGCCACCGUGGAAAUAUGUACAGACAUAAAGAAGACGCCCUCAAGAAAGGCCUGAGUCCAGACCGAGACCCAGAGAAAUGUAAACAAACGCACCAGUCAGACUUGAUAUAGGAGUGAAUUUGUUGCUUUUUAAAGCGGCAGUCGGUCUGUACAUGUGUGAGGUGGCGAGGGGUGUCGCCAGGGGGCGGCUAGUAGCGUCUGCCACCAGGGAAAUAUGUAAAAACAUAAAAAAGACGCUUCUCAAGAAAGAGAGGGGCAGUCGGUCUGUACAUGCGUGAGGUGGCGAGAGGCGUGUCCAGGGGGCGGCUAGUAGCGUGUGCCACCGUGGAAAUAUGUACAGACAUAAAGAAGACGCCCUCAAGAAAGGCCUGAGUCCAGACCGAGACCCAGAGAAAUGUAAACAAACGCACCAGUCAGACUUGAUAUAGGAGUGAAUUUGUUGCUUUUUAAAGCGGCAGUCGGUCUGUACAUGUGUGAGGUGGCGAGGGGUGUCGCCAGGGGGCGGCUAGUAGCGUCUGCCACCAGGGAAAUAUGUAAAAACAUAAAAAAGACGCUUCUCAAGAAAGAGAGGGGCAGUCGGUCUGUACAUGCGUGAGGUGGCGAGAGGCGUGUCCAGGGGGCGGCUAGUAGCGUGUGCCACCGUGGAAAUAUGUACAGACAUAAAGAAGACGCCCUCAAGAAAGGCCUGAGUCCAGACCGAGACCCAGAGAAAUGUAAACAAACGCACCAGUCAGACUUGAUAUAGGAGUGAAUUUGUUGCUUUUUAAAGCGGCAGUCGGUCUGUACAUGUGUGAGGUGGCGAGGGGUGUCGCCAGGGGGCGGCUAGUAGCGUCUGCCACCAGGGAAAUAUGUAAAAACAUAAAAAAGACGCUUCUCAAGAAAGAGAGGGGCAGUCGGUCUGUACAUGCGUGAGGUGGCGAGAGGCGUGUCCAGGGGGCGGCUAGUAGCGUGUGCCACCGUGGAAAUAUGUACAGACAUAAAGAAGACGCCCUCAAGAAAGGCCUGAGUCCAGACCGAGACCCAGAGAAAUGUAAACAAACGCACCAGUCAGACUUGAUAUAGGAGUGAAUUUGUUGCUUUUUAAAGCGGCAGUCGGUCUGUACAUGUGUGAGGUGGCGAGGGGUGUCGCCAGGGGGCGGCUAGUAGCGUCUGCCACCAGGGAAAUAUGUAAAAACAUAAAAAAGACGCUUCUCAAGAAAGAGAGGGGCAGUCGGUCUGUACAUGCGUGAGGUGGCGAGAGGCGUGUCCAGGGGGCGGCUAGUAGCGUGUGCCACCGUGGAAAUAUGUACAGACAUAAAGAAGACGCCCUCAAGAAAGGCCUGAGUCCAGACCGAGACCCAGAGAAAUGUAAACAAACGCACCAGUCAGACUUGAUAUAGGAGUGAAUUUGUUGCUUUUUAAAGCGGCAGUCGGUCUGUACAUGUGUGAGGUGGCGAGGGGUGUCGCCAGGGGGCGGCUAGUAGCGUCUGCCACCAGGGAAAUAUGUAAAAACAUAAAAAAGACGCUUCUCAAGAAAGGUAAG